AUUGAACGCUGGCGGCAUGCCUUACACAUGCAAGUCGAACGGUAACAGGUCUUCGGAUGCUGACGAGUGGCGAACGGGUGAGUAAUACAUCGGAACGUGCCUAGUAGUGGGGGAUAACUACUCGAAAGAGUGGCUAAUACCGCAUGAGACCUACGGAUGAAAGCAGGGGAGCGCCAGACCUUGUGCUACUAGAGCGGCCGAUGGCAGAUUAGGUAGUUGGUGGGAUAAAAGCUUACCAAGCCGACGAUCUGUAGCUGGUCUGAGAGGACGAUCAGCCACACUGGGACUGAGACACGGCCCAGACUCCUACGGGAGGCAGCAGUGGGGAAUUUUGGACAAUGGGCGAAAGCCUGAUCCAGCAAUGCCGCGUGCAGGAUGAAGGCCUUCGGGUUGUAAACUGCUUUUGUACGGAACGAAAAGCCCCGGGUUAAUACCCUGGGGUCAUGACGGUACCGUAAGAAUAAGCACCGGCUAACUACGUGCCAGCAGCCGCAGUAA
rnacentral:rRNA from 1 species